GGACACGUCUGACCACUUCUAUUGGGUGACACAUCAGACGAGCGGUUCGGGAGCAAGGUUCACUUGACGAGGAGGCUGAGUUACGAGUAGGGACUAGAGCAUCUCCAACCGGCUCGCACAAUAAGUUGGGCUGGACAAUUGGCGUCGACUUGAUUGAGAGCGCGUGCAUAGCCCAGGAAGAUUUGAAUGGUUAUGUAAAAUAUAAGGGGUUGGUGAGAUUUUGCCCUGGACCUGCUUCUGCGGGAGAGAUGACCAAUGGCAAUGUCUGGGACUACUGCUGAACCAUGAGGUGGGAAGGCCACUGGGCUGUCAGAGAAGGCGGACAAUUGGCUGUUCCUCACACAGGCAGGUUUAAGCACAGGCGAGAGAGGAGUCAUCUGCCAUCAGACAGACUGAAAGAAAGACCGUAACGACGGAUCAGCUCGUGUGUUAUUUAGGAUCCCUGCAGAUCGUAGAGGCCUCCAUACAGUUCCAUUCUUUGUCCUUGAACAUCGGUUUCUGCUCUACCAGUGUUAGAUACCUCCCCAGGGAAAAGGGCAGCCCUGCAAGAGCAGUUAGCGGGUGGCCAAUCUACUUGGGUUCCCCUUUUCUGUUGUCUCUCGUGGAGGGAGAGAGAACAUCAGCUUACACAUCCAUUGAGAUGCAGUCUGCAGAUGGAGACGUUCCAGAAAACAACUAUUUAUUAUCAGCCUCCACACACCUGUUGAACAUGCACAGAAACCUCAAAACAUGCACUCCCAUUGUUUAAACCGAGGGUUUUUAUUUUUGCUUUGUGAUUUAAAUGUGUAUUUUGUGAAUUCUUAAGAAUCUGUAUAGUGCAACAUCAUUCUGUUAUUCUGAUUUGUAAAAGUCUGUCUUCAGGAUUCAGGAUUUACAAUGAACUGGUAUGUCAAAAUGGAUCCUGCAGAUCAUUUCAUCUCUAUCAACAUUUAUUAAAUUAAUUAAAAUGAUAAACCAUAAAGGGAAUAUGUCCACUGUAAGAACCACUU
ensembl:lncRNA